rnacentral:lncRNA from 1 species
GGCCAACUGGCUGCAGAGGAAGAAUAUCUUCAGGCCAGGUCUUAGUUACAUCAAGUGGAUCAAAGUCAAAUCUGUCCUCAUGAUUGGGAUCAAUUGUCUGAAUAUAAAGUUUCCACUCAGGGUAGUUGCCAGCUGCAAUGGAAUCAUAGAGAUCCUUGGUAGCAUGGCUGUGAUUAGCUCCUCCAACCUUAAUAGCUUCAUCCUCCAACAAACACUUGACUCCACACGUAGGUUUCCAAUGAAAUUUCACAUACUGUACUUUCCCCGCCUUAUUGAUAAGGGUAUAGGUGUUAACACCAGAGCCUUCCAUGUGCCUGUAAUCUUGUGGAACUCCCAGAUCAUCAAAUAGGAAGGUGAACAUGUGCAGGCUUUCUGGGUGGUGGGAGAAGAAGUCAAGGAUCCUCCAAGGCUCUUGAAUGUGCGACUUGGGGUUCGGUUUGAGAGCAUGGACCAUGUCCGGGAAUUUCAUUCCGUCACGAACAAAAAAGACAGGGAAAUUGUUUCCAACCAGGUCAAAAUUACCCUGUGUUUAAGAACAAAGUCGCCACAUGAGUACUAACAACACAGCAAAAUAAACCUGAAUAAAGUUGUAUAUAGUGAAUAAUAAUGUUACCAAGAAAUCAACCAUCUGUAUAAGCAUCUAGAUUACAGAUGGUAUGCUACAUGAGCAAUCUUUUACAGCCAGGUGACUACCCCCAUUAGUAAACGAAAAUGAAAAGGCAAAGAAAAGAAAGGAAUGAAUGCAAUCUUUCAUCAAAGUCACAAGACUGCAUAAUUUCCAACAACUAUAAUUAGUCAAAUAUGAAUUGAGUACUUCAUAUUUUGUCACCACAGCCACCUCAGCUGCCACUACAGACACCAAUACAUAUCCACUAAAUAUGCCUAUGCUAUUGAAAAUAAAAAUAAAAUUAACACAUUGAUAAUAUAAAGGUAAAAACCUCACCUCUCUGGUGUAAAACUUCACUGCAAAACCACGAGGAUCCCUCAGGGUUUCAGGGCUGCCACGCUCAUGGAUAACAGUGGAGAAACGCACAAUGACAGGUGUCUGAACACCGGGGGCUCGAAGGAAGUCAGCACAUGUAAGCUGAGAAAUAUCAUGAGUGACCUCGAAGAAUCCCUUCGCACUGGCUCCCCUAGCAUGGACAACACGCUCUGGGAUUCGUUCUCUAUCAAAGUUGGCAAGUUUCUCCACCAGAUGAUAGUCCUCAAGGAGAAUUGGGCCUGACAAAUAGACACAGAAAUUUAAUUCGGAACUGCACCGACUCAACUCACCAUAUUUAAGCAUCUAGAUUACAUGCAAAUAUAGGAUAAAAAUGAAAUUAGUUGUUAUACAUUCCAGAACAUCAAAUAAAGAUGAUUGCUGCUCAGUUGCAAAUAUUCGUAAUUUUUAUUUACAUUUAGAAGGUAGGUUUUCAGACAACCAGAUGAUCAAAAAACCCAUCUUGACAAACCAAAAGGAGGCUGGAGGAAUUAAAAGAGAACCAACAGUGCGGGAGAAUCAUUUUUCAACUAAAGUAAGCAUAAAAUUUUAAAAUAAAUGUCAAUAGGAAAAGGAUCAGCUUCAAAUACAAGAUAUAUAAGUAUAUAUACAUAUCUUAAAUCCCACAAGCGUUUCCAAAGAUUAAUCAUCCUCAACAUGGUAGUGGUGGGAAUAACAUCCAAAAAGCAGUUUACAGCUCAUAAUCACAUGAAUAUCAAAAUCUUGUUCAGAAAAGUUGAGAAAACCAUCACAAAAAUUCAAAACCCAGGUAAGCGAAGAACCAAUGAUAACAAAGAUGAAUAUAUACACACAAAUAGUGAAUAGCAUCAUAAGAUAGAUUGAACAUGAAGCGCAACUAAAAAAACAAUAAAAUAUAAAAUAUAAACUGUGUUGCAAUUGAAAAGCCAGCAUCAAUCAACGAAGAGUUGUGAUGAAUUACCUCUAGAUCCAACAGUCAAAGAAGAGUUGUUGUUCCAAACAGGAGCACCGGAGUUUGUGGUCCAGAAUGGGGAAUCAAAAGCACUUGAAGGGCGGUACUGCAACAUACACAACGAAAACGAAACAAGACCAUGAUGAGCUAAAAGAACAACAAACACAAAAUUUCGAGCUACGCUUAAAUGACCAAUCUGAUUGAUCAAGAAGAUUAAUUCAUCAAGAAAUCAAACUUAAACAAAUCAAGAGAUAUUAUAACAGGGAAAUGAGUACCUUGUAAGGAUCCAUGGAGAAAGAGGGGGAAGGAGGAGUUUGAUAAGAAGGUGAGAGAGCAGAGCAAAGCCACCCAAAGGGAGGGUCGUGUGGCAAAUGAGAAUCGAAGAGCGAAAUGUGAAAUUGGGGAAUUUAUAAACACUUGCGGGUCGUGGGCGUGGCUCGCGCUUCUGCGCAAAUUACCAAUCUCAGCAGGUUAUCUUUAUCCACACACAGAGUGGGAGGUCAAGAGAAGAGAAGACAUAUCUUUGCCAAUUUAGCGUCGCGAGUCAGAACGAUUCUCGCCAAACCUGUCAACGAAGCAUUCUUGUAUGCACAAUUGUGGCAAAACGUCCUUCACUCACUUCAAAUCUUUUACAACCAAUUUUAUGAGGAGGGAUUUUUUUACAAAAAAAAUAAAAAAUUAUACAAUUUUAUGAGGAGAUGGUAUGCAACAAAAAAACAGAGGGGAUUCAGAUUUUUUUUUUUUAAUGGAAAUUAUUGUCCAAAAACAAAAGAAACAUUGAAGAAAUUGAGAGUUCAAUUUAAAAGUAAAAGAGAUCAUUAAAAUGAGUAAAAGAGACUAGAAACACCAUAAUUGACUGUGUAAUUAUAAAAUAUAUGGAGUCGUUUUUUUAUUUUUCAAAUUUUGUGAACAUAUUAUCCCUAAAUAAUGAACACAAAAAUUGAUUUAAAUAUAAUGUUGGUGUUGAUUGCAAUUAAUAAUAGCUAACUAUAGAGAUUUGAUUGAAACAAUUAAAACAUUUCACCACGACAACAAGGUCAAGAAUGCAAGUUGUUUAUUAUUAUGAAUUGGUUUCAAGACGAACAAUUUAACAACAAAUUCCAAACCUCUAUAUUUAGGAUUCAUGCAUUUAUCUACAUUUUAUGAAACUAAGUUGCUCAAAUAAUCUAACCAUUUAACAUGACACAUCAUCAAUUUUUAACCUAAGAUUUUUUUAAAAAAAAAUUGAAGUUAAUUUUAAAGUUAACGUGCUUGAGGGGUUUUUUUUUUCAUCAUGCUUCCUCCUUGAGAAAACUGUGAAUAAAAUUAAUUAAUUGCUACUUAUCUUCAGCUUAUAUAUUGAACCCUAAAGCAUAAAGCGAACUUCAAAACUUUAAUUUUUUGGCCACACAAACUUGAGCAAAGUAUGUCUUAUCUUUUUCACAAGAUUAUUCACUCUCAUUCUAAAUUCAUCGUGAUAUGUUAAGAAAUAACAAGUUUCACGAUGAACUAAAAAAGAACUCUCAAGCACGUUAACAUUAACGUUAGCAUAAGUUUUUGGAAAGAACGAAAAAGACCUUAAUUUAAAGAUUGAUGAUAUGUCAUAUGAAUGGUUAAAUUAUUUAGUUUAAAUUUUACGAAAUAUAAAUAAAUACACGGAUUCUAAAUAUAGAAAUUUGAUAUUCAUUUGCCAUAAAUAUCACUUUAAGAGUGAAAAUCCAGAAUACUAAACUAAAAUUAUAUUUCUUCACAAAAAUUGCAUCUAAAGAUGAGGAUAAAUUGAUGUUCAUCCGGACAUUGAAAAAGCACAAUAUAUCGUGAAGAUAUUCGAUAUAUUGAAAACCUCGCCGAUAUUCAUGUAGGAAGGCUAAACGAUUUUUUUAUGGCAAAAACUUCAACAACAACAACAAAAAAAGAGGCCUGGAAAAUUAUUAUUAUCAUAAUCGUGGUGGGAAUUCAAAAUUGAAAAUAAUUGAGAACGUCAUGCAUUCAUCGUUCGUUAUCCAGGUCUUGGAGCUUUGCUAACACCUAGGCGCAACCACUUAAGGCAGUGGCGGGUAUGGGUGACGUGGUCCACUCACAAGACGCCACGACCACCAAAGUGUACCUUGAAACGCGUGCUCUUAGAAAAUAGCACAGAGAUUCUCUCUCUCAGGGGAUAUGCUUGAAAUUUAUGAACAAAACAGAAGGAAAAAUAAAAACAAACAAGAGGCUAUUUUUGGUGUUGUCUGUGUGAAAGCCGCCAAAACAGCAAAUAUGCUGAUAAGGUUAGAAUGGGCCGAGCUCAGAUUAGCCACAAAGACUGUUCCUCUCUGGGCCCACUUAUCAAUAUUUUAACAUUUUUUUUAAUGGAGCUCGACAAUGAACAAAUUUUGAAGGUAAUUACUUGAUGUUAGUUAGAGAACCUCUAUGUCUAAGGGAACUACGAGUUCAAGGAAGCUUUGAGGUAUGCUCAUGUGACCCUACUUCUUGUUCUUUAUGCAUAAACAUAUUCAAGUUGCAUGUUCAAGGCUUGCCAUCUAAUCAUUAUAUAAUAUUUUGAUCAUCUAUUAUAAAAAUAUAAAAAAAACUAUGUAACUGGGCCUUGGUGCAAUAAGAACUUAAGCAUUAGCUUCAUGUAUGUAGGAAAAGUAGCAAAUAAUUUCAAUUGUAAAAUGAAUGCUUUGGUUUCUUUUCUUGUUAAUGCCGUUUGACUGGUUGUUUUGUCUUAGUGGUUCUUUGACCUCUCUUUGGUCUUUUUAUUGAAAGUUAUGUUGAGAAACUGAAAUUAACUUAAACGUAAAAGGAUUUUUUGAGUAAACAUAUUUCACAGCAUAAGAAUACUGCAGUUUUCCUCUCUUAUAUAUAUCUGAAAAACAAAGCUUACAAAAUAACAAUCUCCACAAUAACCACUAACACACAAGUGCAGAUUUUGUGGAGUUCAACUACCUUAAGCAACGGAAGCAAAUUUGAACGUGGUGAACAGACUAAACCACAACUUCUACAUUCUAGGACUUCAGCUUGACUUGGUCUCUACAUGGCCAUGUCAGCAUUAUUUAAUUAAAAAACUAAUUAAACUUAACUAAAUAACUUUUAACACCCUCCCUUAAACUGAUUUUUACGAAAAACAGUUUAGGAUCUCUACACCAUCACAUAAUCAUCUUCCUGUUCAAUGCUUUGAAAUGAACAAACUCCCAACAUGCUUCUCAGCUUCUCAAGCGCAGGUACCAUCACAUAAUCAUCUUCCUGUUCAAUGCUUUGAAAUGAACAAACUCCCAACAUGCUUCUCAGCUUCUCAAACGCAGGUUGCUUCAAAGGCUUAGUUAAGAUGUCUGCAACCUGCUCCCCACUCUUGCAAUAUUCAAGUACAAUCUUCCCAUCACUGCACAGGUCACGCAAAAAAUGAAAACGUACAUCAAUGUGUUUACUUCUCCCAUGCAUGACUGGAUUCCUCGAUAGCUUUAUAGUUGACAUGUUGUCGCAGUAGAUGGUUGUUGGUCCCUUUUGAACAUCACCAAGCACUUCAAAUAUUUUCCUAAGCGACAUAGCUUGACAGGAGCUUGCAGCUGCUGCUACAUAUUCAGCUUCUGUUGAGGAAAGUGUCACAAUUUGUUGCUUCUUUGAGGACCACGAUAUUGCACCAGAGUUGAGCAGAAAUGUGUGACCGGAAGUGCUCUUACGAUCAUCUAUAUCACCUGCAUAGUCACUAUCUGUGUACCCAACAAAACCAGAACCAUCUUCCCUUUUAUAAAACACACCAUAAUCAAUUGUCCCCUUUACAUACCUGAGAAUUCUCUUUGCUGCAUUGAGAUGCAUUUCAGUUGGUUUUUCCAUAUAUCGGCUCACAAGACUCACUGCAUACAUGAUGUCAGGCCUCGUGUAUGUUAAAUACAUGAGACUCCCAAUUAUCUGUUUAUAGAAAGUGCUGUCAACCUCCUUUCCACCUUUGUCUUUGCAUAGCUUUAAGCCAUGUUCAGCUGGAGUUCCAAAUGGCUUGCAGUCAUCCAUCUGAAACCUGUUAAGAAUGUCCUGUGCAUAUUUUUUCUGGUAGAUGAAAUUACCAGCAGUAGUUUGAAUGACUUCCAAUCCAAGAAAAUAGUGCAUUAAUCCUAGAUCAGUCAUUUCAAACUCCAUCAUCAUAGACUUCUUGAAUUCAUCAAACAUUUUAGCAUCACUUCCAGUGAAUAUCAAGUCAUCAACAUACAAGCAUACCAUGAGUAUUUUACCUUCUUCCUCAGUCUUGACAUAAAGUGUGUGCUCAAAAGGACAUUUGUGAAAUCCAAGCUUAGCAAAGUGAGCAUCUAUGCGACUGUACCAAGCUCGAGGUGCUUGUUUCAGUCCAUAGAGUGUUUUCUUCAGUUUGAACACCUUCUCUUCUUCUCCUUUUCUCUCAUAACCAGGUGGUUGAUCAAUGUACACCUCCUCUUGCAGGUUUCCAUGCAGGAAUGCUGACUUCACGUCUAACUGAAAAAUUUGCCAGGAAUUUUGAGCUGCAAGAGAGAUCACUAACCUAAUCGUGUCGUGCCUCGCAACUGGGGCAAACACCUCUUUGUAAUCAAUGCCAUGCUUCUGCUUGUAGCCCUUAGCUACCAAACGAGCUUUGUGCUUGUCAACCUCACCUUUUUCGUUCAACUUUGUUCUAAACACCCAUUUAACACCAAUGGUUUGCUUUCCCUUUGGAAGAUCAGUUAACUCCCAGGUUUGAUUCUUCUCAAUGGACUUGAUUUCAUUGUCCAUUGCUUCCCUCCAUUUCUCCUCUUUAACAGCCUCAGUAUAUGUGAUUGGAUCACUAUCUACAAGUAAUGCAAAGUGAGCAUUUUCAUCAUCAGAACUUGAAUAACUUACAUCGUAGUCCAUCAUCCAUGCUGGCCUCUUCCUUGAGUUCUCAUCUCUCAAAUUGUAUCUCUCUUCUUCAAACUGUUGAGAUGACUGAACUUCAAGUUGAGGUGGCUGCUGGGCUUGAGUUUCAGGAGCUGCUACCUCUUCAUUGUCUAAAUCAUCAUAAACUGGAAUUUGUUGUUGAACCGAUCUGUUCUCAGACCAAUUCCACAUAGUGUCUUCAUCAAAUAUCACAUCCCUGCUUACCACUAUCUUCUUUGUAACUGGAUUGUACAGUUUGUAUGCUUUUGAGACUUCACUUACACCAAGAAAAACACAUUUUUCACUUUUGUCAUCCAACUUCUUUCUUUUCUCAUCGGGGAUGUGUGCAUAUGCUAUGCACCCAAACACCCUAAAGUGAUCAACCGCAGGCUUCAAUCCACUCCAAGCUUCUUGAGGAGUCAUAUUCUUAACAGAAAAUGUGGGACUUCUGUUUAAAAUAUGAACUGACCAUAGCACAGCUUCAGGCCAAAACUUCUUGGGAAUUCUUCCUUUGACUAGCAGACUUCGAACCAUGUUGAGAAUGGUGCGAUUUUUCCUCUCACUUACACCAUUUUGUUGUGGUGUAUAGGCAGUGGUCAACUGUCUCUUGAUGCCUUUCUCUUUGCAAAAUGCAUCAAAUUCCUUCGAACAGUACUCUCCCCCACGGUCAGUUCUUAGAGUUUUAAUCUUCUUUUCUGAUUCAUUUUCAACUAGAGCUUUGAAGCUUUUGAAUGCUUCAAAUGCCUCUGAUUUUUCCUGCAAGAAAUAUACCCAUGUCUUUCUACUAAAAUCAUCAGUAAAGGAGAUGAAAUAUUUCUUGUUACCAUUUGAGAUGGGAUUUAUUGGUCCACAUAGAUCAGAGUGAACCAUCUCCAGGAUUUAUUGAGCCCUUGCUGCCUUGCCACUUGGAAAAGAGUCUCUUUUGUGCUUCCCAGUGAUGCAUUCUUCACACAUCUUUGAUGGAGGAGUUAUAUCAGGUAAGCCAGUGACCAUCCCUUUCUGGUGAAGUGUUCUCAAGCCAUUAAAAUUCAAAUGGCCAUAUCUGUAGUGCCAUCUCCACGGGUCAUCUUCUUUGGCAAAUAAGCAAGCCUGCAGAGUCUUGAUUUUCAAAGGAAACAAUCUGUUGGAAGACAUUUUCACAACAGCAAUGGACCCUCUUUUUGGGUCGUACACUUCCCACUCUCCUUUAUAGAUUGUAAUCCUAUAGCCUUUAUCUUGUAACUGACCAGCACUCAGCAAAUUUGUCUUCAAAUCAGGAAUAUAAAAAACAUUUGAGAUAGUUUCAAUAAAGUCAUUUUUAGUUUUGAUUUGAAUAUCUCCCUUACCCAUCACUUUCACUGUUGACUUGUCACCAAAACUCACUACCGUGUGAAAGCUUUCAUCCAAAUUAAUAAAGGAAGACUUACAUCCACUCAUGUGAUUGCUGCAGCCUGUGUCCACAUACCAUGUCUCCUGAUCAGUUUUUGUCAGUGCAUGAAAAGCCAUCAAAAGUGUCUCUUCCUCCUUCUUUUUCUCCACAAAAUUUGACUUUUCUCCUUUUUCUUUUGGUAACUUCGUGUAGCACUCAUUCUUGUAGUGCCCAAAAUUUCCACAUCUAUAACACUCCACUUUUGACUUAUCAAAGUGGUACGUUCCUUUUUCUUCAAAGUCAUCAUCUCUUUUGAAAACAUGAGAUGACUUGCUGUCAUCUCUAUGUCCAGACCGUCCACCUCCUCGAUGACCUCGACCACCUCUUCCUCUAUCACGUCCACCUCUUCCACGACCUCUUCCUCCUCGAGAACUUGAGGACUCAGAAACAAUGGAAGCUUUCAGAGCUGUUUGUUCUUCACUGGCAGUGGUGCGGUUAAGUCUUUGUUCAUGCACUAACAAAGAGCUUUGUAGUUCAUCAACUCGUAACUCAGCAACGUUCUUUGCCUCUUCAAUUGAACAGACAAUGUAGUCAAAUUUUGGAGUCAAUGAUCUCAUAAUUUUCUCCACAACUUUGACUUCUUCCAUGGUGCCACCAUUGGAUCUCAUCUUGCUUGCUAUUCCCAGAGUUCUAGCAAAGAAAUCAGUGAUGGACUCUCCUGAUUUCAUUUGUAAAGUUUCGAAGUCCCUUGUUAGAGUUUGAAGCACUGCACGCUUCACCCUCUCUGACCCUGCAUAUUUCUUCUUCAAAGAAUCCCAUAUUUGUUUGGAGGUCUCCUUCUCGAGUAUCGUCUCCAAGAUAGAUCGAUCAAGUGCCUGAAAAAGGUAAUUUUUCACCCUCAAGUCCUUCAGCUUCUGUUCAGCAACCCUCUUUUGUUGUUGUUCAGUCAACACAACUCCCUCUGCUGGGGCGUCAAUUCCUGAUUCCACAAGAUUCCAAUACUCCUUUGACCUGAGAAAAUUUUCCAUCAGCAUGCUCCAAUGGUCGUAGUGACCAUCAAAUCGUGGAAUCGCUGGUUGAAUAAAACUCUCAGUGGCUUUCUCUGUUGCCAUUGUUUCUUGCUGCUGCAAGACACAAUCUUUCACCUUUUUUUCAAGUUUGUUCAGGCCCAGAAGAGCUCUGAUACCAGAUGUUGAGAAACUGAAAUUAACUUAAACGUAAAAGGAUUCUUUGAGUAAACAUAUUUCACAGCAUAAGAAUACUGCAGUUUUCCUCUCUUAUAUACAUCUGAAAAACAAAGCUUACAAAAUAACAAUCUCCACAAUAACCACUAACACACAAGUGCAGAUUUUGUGGAGUUCAACUACCUUAAGCAACGGAAGCAAAUUUGAACGUGGUGAACAGACUAAACCACAACUUCUACAUUCUAGGACUUCAGCUUGACUUGGUCUCUACAUGGCCAUGUCAGCAUUAUUUAAUUAAAAAACUAAUUAAACUUAACUAAAUAACUUUUAACAAGUUAAUCAAAUAAAAUAAAAAUAAAACAACAAUUAGAAGGGUUGCAAUUAGAUAGGCUUGCUAGGCUCCAAGAGGUGCAAGACUGUCUUUUGAUUAAAGUUCAAGCUCCCAAGUCCAAAUUUGGGGCACCAACUAGCCUAUCUCAUUGCAGGCGCUUAACACUUGAAGGGACUGGCGCAAUGAUUUACUAGUAAAAUUUGUAAUAGCUUAAGACUUCGCUAGUAUCAUUUAGUAGUUACAAAUCACUUUACUUCGCCAGUAGUGAGUCCCAAUAUCGGCUGAAUUGCUCUUUCGCCAGUAUUAGUCUGUCGGUAUAAGCUAAAAUUGUAGUAGUGUAAGCUAAUUCUUGAUUUACUGUAAUUAUUCCCUUAUCGGUUAAAACUUCAAAUCAUCAAAGAAAAUCAAAGCACUCUCUAAGAAUUUCACCCUUUAAGAGUGCAUUGAGGCAAACCUAAAAAAAUUCUUCUUCAUCAUCAUCUUGUCACGCUUCCUGAAUCCACCAUAGGAGAUUUUAGUUUGGCCCUCUGGAUGUCCUCUUUUAGGUCUUUACGCACCGCUUCUUGGGGCUUAUCACUUGAGCUCCCAAAGAUCACUCUCUUAGCUUCAGCAAAACUUCCGUCGUGAUCUCGUUUGCGUUUCCCUAGGAUCUCCAAGGCCUCCAGCUGUUUUUGCAUCUCUUUAGAAUAAGAAGUUACCAUCUUUGAUAACUUUUCAUUUUCUGCCUGCAAUAUUUGAAGCUAGCGUUGAUUCUCCUCUGCUGUUUUUUCCUCUUUUUUUUUUUUUCAAUCUUUUGAUCUCACGCCGAUAUUCAUCAACCAAAUUCUGCUCUGCCACAACUAAGCUCUCAGUACUUGCACCUCAUAAGAUUUUGCAAUGAGGCGAUGCCCCACACUUGUGAUAGUUGUCGCAUUUUGCAAGCACAGUGCCACAACAUUGCUCACUAACCGGUUGUCAUCCCCCGUUCCUAGUAUGCAUACAUCCCUGGGAGUCACCAAACUCUUCGCAACUCCAAUGGCAACCUCGUUGUCAAGGAGUAACGAGUCGCUUUUUGUCACUGGUCCUCGUGAAGAAGCAAAGUAGGGUAUCCAGACUGGUGCAACUCCUUGCCCCUAUGUCUGUGUUGGCGGAGCUAGGUUAAGAUCCAAAGAAGAUGAGAAGGGAUACGACAUUUUCUUUCUGCUUUCUUUUUCUUUCAUUUUCUCUCUUUUCUCUUUCUUCUUUCCUUUCUCUUUUCUUUCUUUCUUUUCUCUCUUCUGCGUGGUUGUAAUUCUUCUUUUUCCUUUGUUUCCUUUAAUAGAUGAACCCUAGCACCAUUGCACCGUCUAAUUUUUCCGCAUUCCUUGAGCUCCACAGCCUUCUCGCUUUCCACCGUCUACAACUUUGUCGCGACUUGUGCAACGUCGUCCCUACUAUCCAUGGCACCCAUAAUUCCGCUUGUAGAUUUGUCGUACCUCUGCGCGUCGACACAUGUCUCCUCUCUCUAGGGGUGGGCAUUGGAUUUGUGGUUCAAAUUGAUUUAGGGUUGAUUAAAAUAAAAUGGCAGCCCUAGAAACAGUGACCAGGUAUCUAUCCCAUAUGACAUAAAACAUUUAAAAACAUCCAUGGGACUAUAUUUAAAAAAUCAACUUGAUAAUGUUUAGUUGGAUUGUAUAAUGUGUUUUGUUUUGUUUUGUUGGAUUAUAAAAUGUUUAAGUUUCUGUUUUUUUGUUUAUUUAUAAAAUCAUCCAUGGGACUUCAUUUUCGGUUCAAGGUUCCAUUUUUUUAAGAAACCAGUCCAAAUCGGACCAUGCCCACCCCUACCUCUCUGUCUCUUUUUUUGCUUUGUUUUCCUUCUCUCUCUCUCUCUCUCUCUCUCUCUCUCUCUCUCUCUCUCUCUCUCUCUCUCUUCCUUAUAUAUUCUCUCCUCUCUCUGUUUUUUUAUUUAAAUUUUUUCAAUUGUGAGUUUUGUAACAUGCAUGUUAUUUUAUUUAUGAACCCAUUACACGACUCCAAACUCACACAAAAAAAGACGACCCGAACCCAAGAAGACAUGUUUAUUAAAUGGGUUAGAUUCGGGUUGAGCAUUCUUGACACGUUUGUUAAUUGGAUUGGGUUAAAUAAAUCAAUGACAGCAUAAAAUGAACACAGGGUUUGUGAAAAAUGUGAUAUUUUCAAUGACUAUAUUAAUAAAUCUUUAUUUUUUGAGUAGUUAGAUUUUUGCACAAAGCUUACCUUCCUCAACUGAUAGCUGCAUUGAUCUUUUGUCUAGCUCAACGGCGUGUCUGCUAAGCUCAGAUGGUGAUAAUUGACGAAGCGCUGGCAACAUGAUGAACGAAGAGCAUUUUCAGUGCUGGCAAAACUAAAGGCAGAAAAAUUGUAUGAAAUUUUUUAAAUUGAAAGAGCAGUGCCAUAAUAAAAUGACCUACUCUGGAUCUAUUCUCUCUGAUCAGAAUCAUCAAAUUGCUUCAAGAGGUUCUUGAAAUGUAGAAACCCUUCUGUCCUUUGCUCAUCAUGGUUCUUCUCAGAACCAACCAAGUGAGGAACCAGAGAUUCAGGAGUGAAUCUAAGUUGCCUGGAAUGAGCAGCUGGCAAUCCAUUGGAACAGGUGGUUUACCAGGUGAAAAAUCUACCGGAGAAGCCAAGGGCAUUGGUGCGAACGCAGAUGUCUCAUGUUCCUGCUUCUUGGUUCUGUCUCUAGGUAGGUCUUGCUGCUUUUGCAAACAAUAUCGUUUGAAAUUGAGAGAGUAAGUAUUUUGUUCUCACACCUUUAACUCUUCGCUUGCCUAAUGCUGAAUCUAACUUCCUCGCACUACCACCAUGCAUGAGCUGAUCACUUGCACUGCUGAUGCUCGUGAAUUGGUGACAAGGGGAGCUCCGUGGCAACUCAGGGUUGAGUAUCUUAGUUCCCAAAACCUUAAUGGGAUGCGCGACUGGUCGUCCUAGAAAAACAUACUUGUUAGGGUUAGAGGUCCAUCGGAGUAGUCAUUAGCUGCUAAUCAACCCGAGAGAGAGAGAGAGAGAGAGAGAGAGAGAGAGAGAGAGAGAGAGAGAGAGAGAGAGAGAGCAAAGAAGAAAUGUGGGGCGUGUUUUUUUUUUCCUAAUCUUAUAAUUAAGCGUGUGUUUUCUAAAUCGGGGCAUGUGAGUUGUAUUAGUCGGGUAAUGAGAGUAUUAAAAACUUUCGUUUAAUAUAAUUCAGUAAUUAAGUAAUACAAGUUGACAUCAAACAAAUGACAUUGACUAUUUACUCAUAUCCAUAGUCUAAUACCAUGUACCAAACAUACCUAUACGAGCUUUUGCCACAUGACUCAUCUAACAUGACAAUCCAAGUCCACAAACACAAGCAUACACACUAAGACAGGACACUCAUAUGCAUGUGAACUACAAGAACGACUGCAUAAUAUCUUGUAUAGAAACAAGACAAUACAACCGGCGCUUAUUACAUUGGAACUACAGUUCACAUUACAUACCAAAUUUAGUAUAACACAGAUAGGAAUUCAAACAUUUGACUUGGCAUAACCCUCAAAUGCUUGGCCUCACAUUGAGACGGGAUAAAAGCUUUUGACCCAGAGACUUAUCUGCCUGCAUUGCCAAUACAAGCACAUAACAUCAGAACAACAUGGCUUAUUCUAAAACUAACCCUUCAUAUUCCAGUAUCACAUCAUCACGUUGCUUAACGGUACAAAUUCACAAAUGCAAUAAUUUAUAAAUAGACUCACCUGAGACCAGUAUGAGAUCCAAAUGCUGCGAAUCUCAUGGGUGACACGAGGGUCUGAUAGGGCAUCCACCCAUCGGCGGAUGAAUCGCUCUUGCCUGCAUGAAGAUGCAAGAUUAAGAACAAUGUUUAAAUACAAUUAUUUUCAUACAGAGACAUCACAGGGUUGCCAGGUACCUGUCUGGCGCCCAAGAUCUGUAUCUCUCUCCAGGUUGCUUAAAGUUGUUCUCCUUCUCAAUGACGCACUGAAUAACCAAAACAAAGUUCCCAUAUGAAUUAUUAUGUGCAGAAAACAAGGAAAAUCCAGAAAUGCAAUCGGUGCAUAUGUAUACACACACACACCUACACUAGUGUAUGUGCCCAGGUGACAGAAAAAGGGACACAGCUGGAAGAAAAGAUGAUGUACAGACGAGACGGGGAAACUAAGGUAUAUUAUUUAAAGCAAUAUUCCUCAAUUGAUAGAAACUGACCUUCUCACGCUUUCCAGAAAGGAUAUUAGAAGGAAUGGGGUAGCGCUCAGCAUGACGAACAGGAUCAUGCCUUGAAGGGAAGUAAUUAACCUGAAAAUAACAGUAUAGCAACUCAUCAGAGAAAACUCAAAUGAAUAAACAUGCAUACAAUUGGAGUUGUCCUCCCAGAAUAUUGAGCAAUCGAAGUAUACAAGGGCCAAAGCGAUUCCAUAUGAGACAUAACAAUUGAGUAAAAUAAUAAUACCUCCUCAUCCCUGUGCAUGAAAUUCAUGAAUCCCUCAUGAUGAUUGUUAUGAUGAGGACACUUGGGAGCAUUCACUGGGAGCUGCAGAUAGUUCGGGCCAAGACGGUGCCUCUGAGUAUCAGAAUAUGCGAAGAUUCGAGUUUGGAGCAUCUUAUCAUCUGAAUAGUAGAUACCAGGGACAACAUGGGCAGGGUUAAACGCAAGUUGUUCAUUCUCUGCAAAGAAGUUAUCGAUGUUUUUAUUCAGAACCAAACGGCCAACUGGCUGCAGGGGAAGGAUAUCUUCAGGCCAGGUCUUAGUUAAGUCAAGAGGGUCAAAGUCAAAUCUGUCCUCGUGAUCAGGAUCCAUUGUCUGAAUAUAAAGUUUCCACUCAGGGUAGUUGCCAGCUGCAAUGGAAUCAUAGAGGUCCUUGGUAGCAUGGCUGUGAUUAGCUCCUCCAACCUUAAUAGCUUCAUCCUCCAACAAACACUUGACUCCACAAGUAGGUUUCCAAUGAAAUUUCACAUAGUGUACUUUCCCUGCCUUACUGAUGAGGGUAUAGGCGUGAACACUAGAGCCUUCCAUGUGCCUGUAAUCUUGUGGAACUCCCAGAUCAUCAUAAAAGAAGGCGAACGUGUGCAGGCUUUCUGGAAGGUGGGAGAAGAAGUCAAGGAUCCUCCAAGUCUCUUGGAUGUGCGACUUGGGGUUCGGUUUGAAAGCACGGAUCGCGUCCGGGAAUUUCAUUGCAUCACGGACAAAAAAGACGGGGAAAUUGUUUCCAACCAGGUCAAAAUUACCCUGCGUUUAAGAAGAACAAAGUCACCACAUGAGUAAUUACUACACAGCAAAAUUAACCCGAAUAAAUUCGUAUAUGGUGAAUAAUGCUACAUGAGCAAUCUAUUACAGCCAGACGACUACCCCCUAUAAUUUAAAGGAAAAUGAAAAGGCAGAGCUAAGAAAGGAAUGAAUGCAAUCUUUCAUUAAAGUCACGAGACUGCAAGAUUUCCAAUAACUAUAAUUAGUCAAAUAUGACUUGAGUACUUCAGAUUUUGUCACCACAGCCACCUCAGCUGCCACUACAGAUACCAAUACAAAUCCAUUAAAUAUGCCUACACUAUUGAGAAAAUAAAUAAAACAUUGAUAAUAUAUAGGUAAAAACCUCACCUCUCUGGUGUAAAACUUCACUGCAAAACCACGAGGAUCCCUCAGGGUUUCAGGGCUGCCACGCUCAUGGAUAACAGUGGAGAAACGCACAAUGACAGGUGUCUGAACACCAGGGGCUCGAAGGAAGUCAGCACAAGUAAGCUGAGAAAUAUCAUGAGUGACCUCAAAGAAUCCCUUUGCACUGGCUCCCCUAGCAUGGACAACACGCUCUGGGAUUCGUUCUCUAUCAAAGGUGGCAAGUUUCUCCACCAGAUGAUAGUCCUCAAGGAGAACUGGACCUGAAAAAUAGAAACAGAAAUUUAAUUCGGAACUGCACCGACUCAACUCAUCAUAUUUAAUCAUCUAGAUUACAUGCAAAAAUAGCAUAAAAAUGAAAUUAAUUGUUAUGCGUUCCAGAACAUAAAAUAAAGAUGACUGUUGCUCGGUUGCAAAUAUUUGUAAUUUUUAUUUACAUUUAGAAGGUAGGGUUUCAGCCAACCAGAUUAUCUUGACAACCCAAAAGGAGGCUGGAGGAAUUAAACGAGAACCAACAGAGCGGGACAAUCAUUUUUCAACUAAAGUAAGUAGAAAUUUUAAAAUAAAGGGUUUACUACUGAAAUACCCCUUGAAAUUGUAGCUCACUUUCAAUUAGCCCUCUAUUCUUUUUUUUUUAGAAAAUUAAGGAUAAGAAUUUUUUUUUUCGGCCAAUUUCCCCCUGCCGUCUAAAUCCUCAACAUUUCUUCUAAUUUUCUGUUAAAUAUGAGGGCAUAUUGGUCAUUUCAAACAUUAAAAAUAAUAAAUAUAGAAUUAAAAAUUAAAAAUUGAAAUAAUAAUGAUAUAUUCACCCUAUGUUUGACAGCCACCAACAUCACACCCUCUCUUCGAUCUCUUUCCCCCUCCUCUUCAACAUCCACCAACAUCACCAUCCUCCACCCUCUGUCUCUUCUCCCCCCAUAUGCCCAUCCCCUCCUCCUUCUCCCUCCCACUCUCUUUUUGCGUCUCUCUCUCCCGAUGCCAAGGUUACAGAGAGGAAAACAAAAUUUAAUAAUAAACAUAUUGAGAUGUUUUGGGUGCCUGUUUAGGAUUUUGAUCUUGAAUUUUUUUUCUUUGGUGGCUGUUUGGCUGUUUGGGUUUCCUGGGGAGUAAGGUGAGGUUAAUAAUAAAGAUCUUCAAAUUUUUUGUGUGGCUAUUUAGGGUUUUGAUCUUGAAUAUAAAUUUUUUUUUGGGUGGUGUUUGAGUUUUUUGGGAGGUGAGGUUAUGGAUGUCGAAGAAAGAGGGAGACAUAAGGAGGAGGGGGAGGGUGAAAGGUGGGGGAAGAGAGAAGAGAGGGUGGGAGACACACUUUGUAGAUAACGAAAGGACGAAAAACAAAAAAGAAGAUCAAAACCCUAAAGCGUAAGGGAAUAGGGCGACAAAGUGAGAGAGAAGGAGGCAGGAGGAGGUGAGUCGGGGUGGGGCUGGUUGACCUCGGGAGAAGCAUCGGGCAGAGGAGGAGGGGGAGAAGAAAACCAGAGGGGAGGGGGAAGAAAAAAAACUGAUGAGAUAAGGUUUUAUUUUGUGUUAUCUUUUUCUUCUUUUUUCAAUUUUUUUUAAUGAUUUAAUAAAAAAUUGGAUAAAAUGUUGAGAUGUAGACCGCAGGGGAAAAUUAGCCAAAAAAAGAAAUUCAUAUCCUUAAUUUUCUAUAUAUAUAUAAAUAAAUAAAUAACAGAUAAGGGGUUAAUCGAAAAGGAUCAGCUUCAAAUACAAGAUAUAUAAGUAUAUAUAUACAUAUCUUAAAUCCCACAAGCGUUUCCAAAGAUUAAUCAUCCUCAACCUGGUAGUGGGCGGGAAUAACAUCCAAAAAGCAGUUUACAUCUCAUAAUCACAUGAAUAUCAAAAUCUUGUUCAAAAAAGUUGAGAAAACCAUCACAAAAAUUCAAAACCCAGGUAAGCGAAGAACCUAUGAUAACAAAGAUAAAUAUAUGCACACAAAUAGUGAACAGCAUCAUAAGAUAGAUAGAUGAUGAAGCGCAACUAAAAAUAAAAAAUAAAAAAACUGGGUUGCAAUUGAAAGCCCAGGAUCAAUCAACGAAGAGUUGUGAUGAAUUACCUCUAGGUCCAACAGUCAAAGAAGAGUCGUUGUUCCAAACUGGAGCACCGGCGUUUGUGGUCCAGUAUGGGGAAUCAAAAGCACUUGAAGGGCGGUGCUGCAACAUACACAACGAAAAUGAAACAAGACCAUGAUGAGCUAAAAGAACAACAAACACAAAAUUUCGAGCACGCUUAAAUAUGACCAAUCUGAUUGAUCAAGAAGAUUAAUUCACCAAGAAAUCAAACUUAAACAAAUCAAGAAAUAUUGAGAUUAGGACAGGGAAAUGAGUACCUUGUAAGGAUCCAUGGAGAGAGAGAUGGGGAGAAGAAGAAGGGAGUUUGAUAAGAAGGUGAGAGAGCAGAGAUAAGCCACUCAAAAGGAGGGUCCUGUGGCAAAUGAGAAUUGAAGAGUGACAUGUGAAAUAGGGGAAUUUAUAAACACUUGGGGGUCGUGGAAGGUCCCUCGCGCUUAUGUGCAAAUUACCAAUCUCAGCUGGUUAUCUUUAUCCAAACACAGUGGAAGGUCAACAGAAGAGAAAACAUAUCUUUGCCAAUUUAGCGUCGCGAGUCAGAACGAUUCCCGCCAAACCUUUCAAUUGAAAAGUAAAAAUGAGUAAAAAGGAGUAGAAACACCAUAAUUGACUGUGUAAUUAUAAAAUAUAUGGAAUCGUCUUUUUAUUUUUCAAAUUUUGUGAACAUAUUAUCGCUAAAUAAUUAACACAAAAAUUGAUUUAAAUAUAAUGUUGUUUUAUCUAAUGAGUAUUUCAAACUUGUAAUUAAUGCUAACUAUUUUUUAUAUUAUUUUUUUAAUAUAAAUGGACCAAUUUAAAAAAAAAAAAAAAAAAAGCUACAGCAUUUAUGACUCUAAAUUUGAGAGUAUGGUUGGAGCUGAAAUUUUUUAAAGAGCUCCUAAAAUAGCUUUUUUGUAUUCUUACCUAAAUUUUAGCUAAAAAAUAGAGAACAUCAUUAUGGAUGCUCUAACUAUAGAGAUUUGAUUGAAACAAUUAAAAACAUUUCACGGCGAACAACAAUGGCAGGGCAAAAUGCAAAUUAUUAAUUUGACUAUUGUUCUUUGUUUGUACCAUAUAUGACUCUCCGCUCACAUCAUGACACGUGGAAAGCAAACGAGGUUAAGACCAACCCUGUGAAGCAGGGCCGAAUAGGCCAAUUCGACAUGAAUCGGCAUACACCACCGAUUCAUACAUGUUCUUCAAUUGGUAAGUGCUCUGGACUGCCCCCUUAAACAAACCUUCAGUACCUGAUGUCGAAUGACCUCAAGGGCGCCAUCAGCACGACUGGCCGAUCAUACAAGACAACCUCGAAGCUCUCGCUAAAGCAUGUUGGGAUGCGUGUCAACCAUUAAAGACACUCUCACAAGUCCUACAUCGAAACUAAGUGCUAAGUGAUCACCCAACACCCUGAAUAAAUAAGGCCUCUGGCCCCAGCCACAGGGUAAAACUUUCUACUUGAACUGUGCUCCCACAUUCAGUACUUAGCUCUUAGUCACUAACUUUGGCAUCAGAGGGUCUUCGCCCGAGACCAUACCGGUGCUCAAGACCUCACCUGCCGUUUCUCUCUUCAGCUUGAUUCCAGCAUCAUGAUCCAAGGAAGGACGCCACGGUCCGAAGGCCCCUCCUGUCCAAACCAUCCAUAUAACUUGUAAGUUAGCCCUAUAACUAUUUGUUUAGUUUUAACGCUAACAUUCUUAAUUGAAUUAUUAAUUUUUUGUUAAUCUUUUAUUUUACUUAAGAAAAAAAAAAUUCAUUUGUAUAUCUCACAUUAUCAUUGAACUGGAUUCAAGACAAUCAAUUUAACAACAAAUUCCGAAUCUCCAUAUUUAGGAUCUGUGCAUUUAACCACAUUUUGUGAAAUUCCGCUCAAAUAAUCUAACCAUUUAAUAUAGGACACAUCAUCAAUCUUUAACCUAAGAUUUUUUUGUUAACUUUAAAGGUAACAUGCUUGAGGGAGAUACUUUUUUCAUCAUGCUUCCUCCUUGAAAAAACUGUAAAUAAAAUUAAUUUAUUGCUAUUUACCUCCAGUUUAUAGAUCGAACCCUAAGCACAAAGUGAACUUCAGAACUUUGAUUUUCUAGUCACAAAAAUCGAGCAAAUUAUGUAAUUAAGAAAUAACAUAUAUUACGAUGAAUUAAAAAAACCCCUCAAGCACGUUUACUUUAAUGUUAACAUCAAUUUUUGAAAAGAAAAAAAAAAGGACUUUAACUUAAAGAUUAAUUAAUGAUGUGUCAUAUAAGUAGUUAGAUAUUUAGUUUAAAUUUUACGAAAUGCAAAUAAAUGCACAGAUUCUAAAUAUAAAAAUUCGAUAUUCAUAUGCCAUAAAUAUCACUUUAUGAUUGAAAAUCCAGAAUAUUAAACUAAAAUUAUAUUUCUUCACAAAAAUUGCAUCUAAACAUGAGGAUAAAAUGAUGUUCAUCCAUACAUUGAACAAGCACAAUAUAUCGUGAAGAUAUUUGAUAUAUUGAAAACCUCGCCCAUAUAAUACAUUCAUGUAGGAAGGCUGAAUGAUGGGACCAACAAAGAAUUAUGUCAUAAAUUUUUAGGGUCAUAUUAGGGAGAUUAACUUUAGAUAAUAACUUGUGUGUCAUCUCUCUAAUAGAGGUAGAACCCACCAAUAAAAUGGAUCUCACAAUUUAUUAGAGAGAUGAUAUACAAGUUGGUAUCUAAAGCUGGUCUCCCUAACAUUUUUCUUAUUUUUAUUGACAAAAACUUCAACGACAAAAAAAAAAAAAAAAAACAAGAAAAAGGCCUAGAAAAUUAUUAUUAUUGUUAUAAAAUAAUUGGAAUAUGUGCGAGAAUGUUAAUCUGCACGUAAAGUAAAUGAGACACAAUAUUUAACGAGGUUCAGCCUUGCUUAGUACUCGGAAAACAACAACAGUAACUUUUCCACUAUGUAAAAUAAUAAAGCUAUAACUUUAAUGUUUAUAAUAUAUGUGACCCGCUAAUCUUUCUCUCUUAAAAAUUUCUCCCUGCUCUCUUUUCUCUCCAUCACUUACCCGCUUUCUUUCCUCCUCUUCUUUAUUUUCUUCCUUUCCUAUCAGCAUGGGCUCUCUUCUUCUCAGAUGAUUGGUUGUCUCACCCAUUUGCACAAGAGGGUAGCCUUGGCAAGCAAGAAUGACACCAAGUGUGCAAUAAACUAAUGCACCAAAGUCCCCACACAAAUAGUAAGUGGGCUUCACAUCACAUGGGUACUCUUUACAGCAAUUAUCAUAAUCGUGGUGGGAAUUCCACGAUUGAAAAUAAUUGAGCACGUGAUGCAUUCAUCAUGCCUUAUCCAGAUCUUGGAGCUUUGCUAACGCUUAGGCGCAAUCACUUAUGGCAGUGGAUAUGCUUGAAGUUUAUAAAAACAGACAAAAUAAAUAAAUAAAAAACUGGAAGAGGCUAUUUUUCGGUGUCGUUUGUGUGAAAGCUGCCGAAAACAGGAAAUAUGCUGAUAAGGUUAGAAGGGGCCCGAGCUCAGAUUAGGCACAAAGAGUGCCACUCUCUGGGCCCACUUCAAAUUUGGAUACAUAAAAAACGAAGAAGAAAAAUCAACGAACUCUGGGCUCGCUCAAUGUCUUUUUCUACAGGAUUUCUUCUUUGUUACUUGUCAAUACUGAUAUUGUAAAGUAAAGAAUGUGGAGCCCACAAAUAAUAGAACCUAAUUGAUUGAAGAUGAAUAAUGGUAAAGCUUGUCUGCCAACACUCACGUGAAGUCAAAAAAAUAUGAGUAAGCAGCCACAGAAUUCUGACUACAAGCAAGGCUUUCCCCCUUUCUUCAACAAACAUACCAUCUGAGAAGAAAUGAGAGUCCAUAUAAAGAAUAAAGAAAGGAAGGAAAGAAAGAGGGUGAAUGAGUAGAGAGAAAAUGAGAGCAGAGAGAUAUUUUUUAAGAGAGAAGUCACAUAUAUUAUAAAUAUUAAAAUUAUAGUCUUAUUUUUUAUAUAUUGAAAAAGUUAUUGCUGUUGUUCUUUGAGGACGUAGACAAGGGAACUAUGAGAUCAAGGAAGCUUCGAGUUAUACUCAUAUGACCAUACUUCUUGUUCUUCAUGCAUAAAACAUAUUCAAGUUCCAUGUUCAAGACUUGACAUCUAAUCAUUAUAGUGAUCAUCUAAAAAAAAAAAAAAAUUUAAAAAAAAAAACGUAACUAGGCCUUGAUGCAAUAAGAACUUUAGCAUUAGCUUCAUGUAUGUAGGAAAAGUAGCAAAUAAUUUCAAUUGUAAAUUUUAAUGUGGAAGCGUAGAAACGAGUACAAACAUUUGGAAGUAAACACGUUACCAUAAUAAUGUUGGUGUAACAACAAUUAGAAGGGUUGCAAUUAUAUAAUAAAUAUUUAUUCUUUGAGUACGUUACCAACAUCUGUUAUAAUGGAUAAAAAUGGUUGCAUAGGCCAGUUGAUGAGGACAGUAUGUACCCUCGUUACUCAAGUUUGAAUCUUCCUCUAGUUUUAUUACUUGUACAAAUAAAUAAAUAAACAAAAUGGUUUGUCUAAAAUAACUGGUCUCACCAAAAUUAAAGCAAUUACAUUACAACAUCUUCUGCCGUGGAAAAAACACACAAAACAUAAAAGAAAAAUAAAAAGAGAGAGAUAACAAAUUAUACUGGUAAGAGUAGACUACCUCCUGUUGCUCUUGUUGGAGGGGAAAAAGCAGUGAGGGGCAUAUUACAGUAGAAGAGUCAGCAUCAACUUCACAGCUAACAAUUCCCAAGCUUUAAAGUAAGCUCAAGGUAUUUGGGAGAGUUCAUUCUGCUGGCCAUCACCAAAACCAGAGUAUUUUGAAUCUUUAAUCGCUUUCCACUUGUUGCACUGAACACGCUCAAAUUGCCUAUAAAAAAUUGCUUGUCAUUGAAGACUUCCCCAAUAUAUUUAGAGCCAUCAUCCUUUGGAUCUCUUUUGCUGCAUGAUGCAUUGAUCACUAGAGUUAAAUAAAUCAAUGACAGAGCCAUAAAAUGAACACAGGGUUUGUGAAAAAGGUGAUAUUUUCAAUGACUAUAUUAAUAAAUAUUUAUUCUUUGAGUAGUUAGAUUUUUGCAUAAAGCUUACCUUCCUCAACUGAUAGCUGCAUUGAUCUUUUCUCUAGCUCAACGGCAUGUCUGCUAAGCUCAGAUGGCGAUAAAUAACGAAGCGCUGAUAACAUUAUGAACAAAGAGCAUUUUCAGUGCUGGCAAAAUUAAAGGCAGAAAAGUAGGUACGAAAUUUUUAAAAUUGAAACAGCAAUGCCAUAAUACAAUGACCUACUCUGGAUGUAUUCUCUCUGAUCAGAAUCAUCAAAUUGCUUCAAGAGGUUCUGCAAAUGUAGAAACCCUUCUGUCCUUUGCUCAUCAUGGUUCUUCUCAGAACCAACCAAGUGAGGAACCAUAGAUUCAGGAGUGAAUCUAAGGUGCCUGGAAUGAGCAGCUGGCAAACCAUUACUGGGCUUUCCAAGAAAAAUUGGAACUGGUGGUUUACCAGGUGAAAAUUUAACCGGAGAAGCCGAAGGCAUUGGUGCAAAUGCAGAUAUCUCAUGUUCCUGAUUCUUGGUUCUGUCUCUAGGUAGGUCUUGCUGCUUUUGCGAACAAUAUCGUUUGAAAUUGAGAGAGUAAGUAUUUUGUUCUGUCACACCUUGAACUCUUCGCUUGCCUAGUGCUGACUCUAACUUCCUCCCACCACCGCCAUGCAUGAGCUGAUCACUUGCACUGCUGAUGCUCGUGAAUUGGUGACAAGGUGGGCUCCGUGGCAACUCAGGGUUGAGUAUCUUAGUUCCCAGAACCUUAAUGGGAUCCGCGACUGGUCGUCCUAGAAAACAAUUCUCAGGAUAAUUUGGCAUAAAGUUCCUAUUAUCAUUCUGUACAUCUCUCAAUGCUAUCUUUUUCAUCGGUAAUGUUGAUUGCUUAUGGCACACAGAUGAACCAACCACACUGUUUCCCAGUGCAUUGUUGUUGAGGUUAGAGCUCACCAUUUGAGGGAUCAGAACAACUAACUUGGCUAAGAGGAUCCUAAGGUCCUGGCUGCAGAGGCAUUAGCAGAAAAAGAAAGAUAAAAUCAAUAAAGAUAUCCUUGAGUGAAAACAACAGCCCCAAUAUAACUAUCAUGCUAAAACACAUUGAGCUUAAACGAAUAGCAGAUAUAACAAACAUUUUCUUCCUGCUGCGCUACUUGAAUGAAAAGUAUCACACAAAAUAAACAAAAAUUUAACUCCUCCUGCUACACAACUUGAGGUGAUUUCACUAUCUAUGUCGAAAAUGUAGUCAUUUUAACAUGGAGUCACCAUAAAUGGCAUGUUAUUAUAGGGAGAUAAAGUUCAAUUAUUCAAGAAAAUAAGAGCACUUUGCCAGUUUCUGAAAAUGCCCUCCAUCCUGAAAGCAAUCUCAAAUUUAAAAGACCCACCUAGAGAGUGUUUAAAGCUGGUCUCUUUAUCAAAUCACCUAGUGGGGAAAUAUUUCAACCAUCCAAUCUCAACAUUUGGUAACAAGAAAAACAAAUUUGACGAGCCCGUGAGUCCAAUUUCAGCAACAUAUAAACAUCGCCCGCCUUUUUCAAAACCCAUUUGCAAAAAAAAAAAAUUAGAAAAAGAAGAAACUUAAUCAACUCUGCUCUAAACUGAGAGUAUCAGUACAAAUCUAUGGUGGGUACUCAUCAACUGUUUUGCAGACAAAAGUUGCAGUCUAAAUGGAGCUGCUACUAUUCAUAAACCCUAUGAGGAAGAACUUCAAGAGCCAAAGGAAAUUAAAUUGAACAAGAUUCGAUUAUAUAAUAAAUAUUGGUGCGUGCGUGUAAGAGAGAGAGAGAGAGAUAGAGAGGGUGCGAUGCUCAAAUUUGUAAUAGAUAAACAGCAGAGAUUCAUAGAGUGGAGAAAGAAUUACCGUUUGGAGUUGGAGUUGGAGUUGGAGUUGGGGGGAUCUGCAAGUGUUUGGAAUGGAUCUGAGGGUGAGGGAGGGAGACUGUUCAAAAAAGGAAAUUUGGCUCCAAAGGAGGCGGAGAGGUUUAAACUGGGUUUAAAAUAUAGGCGGGACCCACGCUACGUAGAUUGGGCCCAUCGGCCUAUGCAGGAAGGUACGUUUUUUGAUCCAAUAACUUCCAUUCCAUGUUGUGCGUUUACUGAAUUUUUUGUAUUUUCACAAAAACUCGUGAAGUUUUUAAAAUUGCAUUAAAUUAACCUCCUCUUUGUUUUCAAUUUAUUUACAUUGAUACUCAUCGAAAUUUUUUUUCUUCAUAUUUUCACAAAACUUAUGAGGUUUUUAAUGGAAUGAAUUUUGUAAAAAUAAUUUGAAAUUUCAAAGAAUAUUAGUGUAAUUUUUGAAAUCUCGGGAGUUUAGUGGGAGACUUUGGAAAAACCCAAAGGAGAGAGAAAAUUUUUAAAAGAAGCAAAAAUGGACAAAAUUACCCUUAUUUAUUUUUUAAUUUCCUAAGAAAUCCUUUACAUUUGCAUGUCUUUGGUUUGAAAGUUGAGAGGUUAUUCUGUCUUUUUUGAAAAAGCUUUGGCUUUUUCCAAAAGUGAAAAUUUUUUUAUGGGUAAAACCUAAAUUUACUUAGUAAUAAAAAUACUAACAAUCUUUACAAGGUGUCAAUGUAAAAAAUUCUAUCUACUACCCACUAGUAAGUUACCUGAGCGAGUAGUUCAUUGUAAACAGGUAUAAAAAUGUUGACUAUAUUUUACCUUUCAAUGAUUUACUUAUGUUGUACAGGUAAAUUAAUAGACUAAUUGGCCAACCAAAGUACGUACAAUAUUUUACACUAACAAAACCACUCAUUAAUCAAAGAAUAUAAGCAGCCAGCCGAAUCCUUAACUCGGCAUUUAUCUGCAAAUCAUUAGUCUCAUAUUCGAAAUCCAAUGUCACCUCUCCUCCCCUCCCCUCCCAAACUUUGACAAAAAUAAAAUAAAAUCAAAGACCAUAAGCAUAAGUCCCCAACAAAAGGCAGAGAAAACCAAACCAAAGAACCCAUCCACAUGCUCAAUUUCUCAUGAACCAUUACCAAUCCCCAUCUAUUCCCACCCUUUGGACCCCAAAAUGCAAGUGAACGUUACAAUAAUCUAGAAUGGAAGUAACAUGCCCAACAUAGUGUGUAGAAAGACACUAUUGUAGUAGAUCACGUUAUGGGGCGAUCCUACUAAGUUUUUUUUUUUUAGCGAAAUAAAUAUAAUGUUGUCACAUGGAAAAAAAGAAAAAAAUAAUUCUAAUUACUUUAUGAAUAAUUCUACUCUUACCACAUUUGUAUACCACAUUUCCAUACCACCUUAUGUGGCAGAUGAAGUGAACAGCUACAUCAAUUAAAAGUAUUUAAUAUUUUCUUUUCUUUUAUGAUUGAUUAACACUUUUUUAAAAAAAUGAUAAUAAAACUUUCUUUAUUAAAAUGCAGUUCAUUGAUUUUAAUUAAUGUGACAUAUGAUAUGGACAUGCCACAUCAUGUGGUAUAGAAAUGUGCGAUAAAAAUGUGGCAAGUGUAGCAUUACUCUUAGUUUAUUGAUAACAGAAGAAACCUAUAUUUCCAAAAAAAUAAAGGAUUCCAUUUCAAAAAUCUUACAAAAUAAAUAAGAAACGUGAAAAUAAAAAGUUUCCGUUUUUCUUUUAUUUGAGCUAUGGAGAUAUUGAUACACGUCAAAACAAGAUUUCUUUACUGAUACACAAGAUGACGGCAUUUCAGCAUCAAAUUACAUUCUUAAGAUGGACACAGCCUCUCCAUGUACAAAUGUGGAUGCAGUCCUCUCCGUUGGAUAUAAUUAUAAGUUAGGAACUAAUUUGUGUGAGAGAUUUCUUUCCGUAUUUCUCCCAUGCUCUGCUUGUGUGUUGACAAACAUACACGAGUGUAGCUAGGGUUUUAUGGUGGCGGGUGAUCAUCCUCUGGUGUUUGAGGUGGGAUAGGUUUCCAACCUGGUUUCUCAUCCCAGUACAUGUCAUAGUAUAUGUGACCAGGAGUGUGUUCCGCCACACAACACCAUAUACCAACGUACCGCUUCACGCGGUUCCUGAAUUUCUCUUCCCUUGCCUGAGCGUAAAUUCAUAUAUCAUCAGAACAUGAUAAAUAAGCAUGUACUAACGGUUCAACCAUUAAUAAGAGACCAAAGAAAAAAAAAAUAUCGAAAAGACUUGCCUUGUCAGUGAAACCUGGGAAGGCAUCUUGCAUAGAAGAAAACUGAAUUACUUUUACAUCCUUGAAUGAGGAGAAUAUUGUCUUGAACUGCAUAUACAAGUGAAAUACAAUAUAAUAAAAAUAUUAGAGUUAAUAGAAACAUUGCUAGACAGAGUUAGAAGGAAAAAAAAAAACAUUCUAGAAUAUUAUGUCUCAAAAGUCGGUCUGAGUCCUGACCACCUAUAUCUUGUCACAGUACUUAUCCCCUUUAAAGGCCACUUAAACUCUGACCAUUUCAUGAGCCAAUGAUGAAUAUAGUUUGAUUAACUGAUAAUGUUUGAACAAACUGGCCCAGUUUCAGCUUCUCAAUAAAUUAGAGAUCAUUAUAGAUGCCAACCCUACAAGGGUGUCCCUCAAAUAAGUUAUUUGAGGGAUCCCUCAACUGAAGCUCUGUAUAUAGAGUGCCAAAAAUGACAGAUAGCCUUUCACUAAACCGUAUAUGUAUAUAUUAAUAGAUGUAUAGAGUCUUUUCAAGAAAAUAAGUGCGUACACACACACACACAUUCAGAAUACCGUUUCUUCAUCGCUUCUCUUUGGAAAUCUCAGCACUCCUGAUGGGCUGGUAGUAUUUGAAGCAACGCAGUCUCGGGUUCCUUCUUGACAAAGCUGGACCUCAAGCCAUGAUUCUUUCACCUGAAAAAAAGAUUCAUAAAUGUAUAAGCGGUACUCUAAGGGAGGGAGGGAAGAGGGGGGGUGGGGGUGGGGGGUUGUUGGUUAGUAUAGAAGAUAAGUGCUACUUUUGAGUUUAAGUGUUAAGUUUCACUGAUACUCAUUUACCUGUUUUGGCAUCAAUGGAUUGUCAAAAAAUGAGUAUUCUCUUAUAUUGAUCUGGGGCCCAAAUAUCUCCUCUGGCAAUUCCUUGAGCAAGACAUUUACCUGCAUUCACAGUAGUCUUUCAUUAGCUUCCAGAGGAGACUCAGAAUAGGAAAACCAGAGUAAAAUGUGACUUUGAGAUCCCUUAAUAUUCCUAUGAUUUAUUUGUUCAACUCGUAGGAAGCUUCACUCAGUACAAACAGACCCAUUAUUAUGAACAACGGAUUUCAAUUCGGUUUAAACGAAAUGUAAGCUUUGACAAAUGAUGGAAAAUAGCUAUAAAGUAAACAACAAUUUUUAGAAAUAAAUAUUAAGAACUACUCCAGAUAAUUAAAAGUUGGGCAGGAAGAAACUGGUCCAGACUAAUUUCAGAGAGAGCUUGGUAUGGAUUAAAGAAAAAGAGGUAAAACAAAAGCAAAAAAGAGAAAAUCGACUGUUCUGAGGUAGCUGUAGGGAAAACAAUAUAACCGACAUCCUCUUCUUACUGCCUCUUUUUCUCUCGGCAAACCUUUUUCCAGUAUAUUUUGUAUUUCAGCUUUAUCUACAAUGAAAACCUUUUAAAUGAUUAUAACAAAGGGUCCACAGAUAGGAUAGAGAAAGAAAAGAAAAAUAAAAUUAUGCACACAAUCCUUGUGGUUAGAUUGUAAAAUUCGUAUUGUCCUUGGGGUUUGCUUCAUGACACUUAUUCUUUCUUUUAUGUGGUUUCCUCAGUAACAAAAACUCAUUAAUUUUUUGAGAAGAUGAAGCAUUUGCAUGCAGCACGAUGAUUUUUUAGGUUUCCAUGAAAAAUAAUUUGUGAAAAAUACCAUACAUCCCUCAUAUUGUGGUUUCCUCCAUAAAAAGUGGAGAUUAAGAAUGAAAGAAACAAGGGUCACAUCAUCUAUUCAGCACACAUUUUCAGGGAAUCAUACCAAAAAUCAUGCGGCCAGGCUUAGUUUCCUAUCGGAGUCAAAUUUUGUGUAAUUGAGGAAAAUCCAAGGGAAGCAUAACCCCUAAACCAUCAUGAGGGUGCUGGACUACAUCCAACAAGACACAAAUGACAAGGAAAAGGCACUUCCAGAAUCCAUACCAUCUAGGAAAACCCCCUUUGCAACUAAUCAUGCUCAAGAAUGGCGAAUAGAAGAUCAUAAUUAAUUUCAAUCAGAAAAUUUAACUGACAUUUCUAGUAAUCCUUAUAGGUUUUCAACCAGGGUAGUGACAUCUAAAUAAUCAGCACAAACACUGGUCAACAGACUGCAUCAGAAAUUUAAAUAGGGGAGGAAGGCUAAAUUUCUAAUUUAGACCAUAGCAAGGAUGACCAAGUUAAUAUUAUGAUCAUUAUUUUUCUCCAAUGACAUUAUAAUUCACUCACUACUUCAAAAACUAAACUCUAGUGGCAAAAGCCAUGAAUUUGUCUGUCAGCUGUCUUGACGUCGAGAAUGUAACUGAUAUCCUGCUGUUUAAGUACAACGGCUGAUUUAAUAGAAACUUGUCCCAAUGGACGUCAACCUCUAACAACGAAAAUUUUCUGAGCAAUCUUGUCUAUUGAGGAAGCAAAGAAAACAAAAGUAUAUAAAAUUAGCUCCGACAAACAGGACAUACCUCAAAUACAUGGUCAAGAGGGCAAAUAAAAGGUUGUCGAGUGAUAGAUCCCUCAAGGACACCAGGGUGGGGAAACCACAGCCUAUCCAACCUGCACCACAGUGGAGGCAUGACCUGAAAAUCACAAAUACAAAAUAUGAAGAAUAUGAACUCCAUAUGCAUUAGUUCAGCAACAAUUAUGGAUUUCAAACCAGGUACGUAAUAUUGGCACAAUGUUGAUUGAUUAUUUUAGCGGACAGAUUCUAGAGCCUUAUCCUUAUAACCAAACCAAUAAGCAAAACAGCACGGUAUAUAGGCUAAGACCAAUUUGAUGUAAGUGACCAAUUUGAUUGCACUUUGUUAAAGCUGAUGCAUCCAACCUAAGACACUACUAGUGGAGAGGCCUAAGAGUUUGUAUAACACCCUGCUCAUGUGUGGAUGGACUAAGCCAAACUGAUAGAUUAAUUAUGUAGGAUGACAUGGAGCAUGUGAGGCCAAUUGGGCCUAAAACAUGGAUAAAUUGCCCACUCUGAUACCAUGUUGAAGUUGGAGCAUCCAACCAAAGUGGGCUAUAGUGGAGAAGCACAUUAUUUUGUGUAUCGAGAUGCAAGGCAUAUAGUGCCUCAUGUGCAAUUUCUAUAUUCUCAUAGAAGAAACAACUAUUUACUUAUGAUUAUGAUAGUUAGGAUCUUGCUACAUGUCAAACUUGCAGGACCCUACAAAAUUUACACUAAACCUUGUAUGUGAUAGUAAAUGAGACAUGCAUGAUAGAACCUGUUGAAUAAGUCCACAAUUUCCAUCCCUAUAUAAUUCUAUUAACAGCUAUCAGUGUCAUGCGAAGCAUUUUCAGGUGAAGAGAAGCUAAAUACACUAAAAUAGUAACAAUUGAUUGUGACAACGGUGAAUCAAAAUUUGCAAUAUCACCCAGAUAUGUAUAAAUAAAACAAACACAAAUUCCUUCAAUAAUCCCACACUAAAAUUCAUUCACUCAUUUAUCACUGAAACAUUCCAGUCCAACAAAAAUGUGCAGCGAAAUAAAACAAAAUGAUAGAUAUUUUCUCACCAAGGUGCGAUUCAACAAGGAAGAAAUGGCAAGUGCCAUCCUUAUCUGCUUUAUCUGAACAAAGCCAUUUCGGAUAUAAAUUAUAUGAUGCAACACUGUAAUAUCCAGAUCAUUGCUAAAAGUUAAUGGAAGCAGGUUAGCACAUACAUACUUGGUAAUUAAUAAGAGAAAAAUGUGAUUUAACAUUAUGCUCCCCAUCUAGUAACAAGCUCUUCGGAAUAGAUGGCUUAAAUGACAAAAACCCUCCUGCAUAAAUUUCCAAAGAUGUCAAGCGGCAUUAGCAUGAGAACAGUCAUCAGUACAAUAUGAACAAAUGCCAGAGUAGCGAAUCCAGAUAUUCAAGUGGUCAAAUUUUCAGUUCUAUGCAAACUUUUUUAUUGCUGAUGAGGUGGCAAGUUUUGACGAAAAUUCAGACUUAGGCAGUGGUUUGGUUAUUGGAAUGAACAGAGGAACGGACUGGCAUUCCUAUAAAAUGUCCAUUUCCCCAAAAUGAUACCAAUUUUCAAUUCUUCCUACUUUACUCUCCAGCUCUCAGCAUUCUAUUCUAAUUCUAAUUCCAUUAUGUUCUAAUGGUUAAAUCUACCAAUCAAAGAGUACCUUAGUUUCUUUAGUACAAGAGCAAAUUUCAGAAAUGUAAAUGAGCAUGAAAGAUCAAGCUCCAUGAGAUGGGAGGAAACUUAACUGAGAAGAUGCAAAGAAAAUGAUACACAUUCACCUUCACAGAAGCAAGCAGUUGCAAGAAAAAUGCAUCCUAAGAAGAUCGAGAAGAUGUGCAAUGCAUGGCACAAAUAUUGGUGAUAUUUUAUGUUAGUACCUGGUGCAUCAUAGUAUUCUGGUGGGUCAUAGAAAACCAUGCCUUCACGUAGUCGGUGGCGCUUUCCUUCAGUACCCGCAUACUGGAAUGUGGUAUGCACUGCGUAUGGCUCCAACCUCAAUUGCUGAUACAUGGCCUGCCAUUAAACCAUUAAAAAGCUUAGGACUUGUGCGAUACACAACCUUUUAUAGCUUAUAUGGACUACGUUCACGCAAGAAACCUAAGUUUGAGGGUGCAAUUGAGGAAAAGAUGGAAGAAAACUAUAAAUCCAUGCCGAGAUUAACUAUGAAGAUACAAUGUCCAAACUACCAAAGAAAAACUAUACAACCCUACCUGGACAAAAUAUGUAUGCCCGCUACAAAAUAUGCUUGCAGGCAAAACUCCCAGCUUCAGAUUUCCAUCAAAAGCAUACACAAGUCCACUCUCUCCAUCAACAGGUGGUCCUAACUGCUUCCUUACGAGAUCAUUAAACCCAUUCUGAUCCCAUAUCUUUUCAUCAGCUAGAAGCAUAUCUUUCCAUUCCUUGGCCAAUCUUUUAGCAGCAUCUGUUGGCCGCCAGUGGAAAAUUCCAAUAUUGUAGGCAGCACCAACUGCUAGAGGGAAGAAAUCAGCAAAAUAACCAAAGCAAUAACUUUAACAUAAACAAUCAACAAGGGUAACAACAGAGACUAGGCUGGAGUCAAAAUUGAAAAACAGUAAUGAAGGUAUCCACAGAAACAGGGAAAGUUACGGAUCCUAUACUAGUAUCCCCAAGGGGUAGACCCCUCCCAAAGUAUUAGCGUAGUUAUAAUUUGUGGCUGGACACAAAUUCAUGUCACCAGAUACAGAGAUCCAGCACAUGGAAUAGCUGCAAACAUUUUAUGCACGUAUAGGAUAGUGGAGAUGAAAAAAGAAGUAUUUUUACACAAAAUCUUCACCUUGUUGCCAAAUGUCCAACCUGUCAUCAGUGACUGUUGGUACAACUUGAUCACUGGAAGUCAAGACAUCUGCUUCAGGAUAGCGAGCAAGAUAUGGAAGUGGGUCCUGUUCCACGAAAAAAGAUAUAUGAUAACUCAUAAUCGUCAGACGAAAAAACCAAACAAGUAAGCAUUCUUGACAAAAAAAUAUUAAGAAUUAAAGUACUAGCUGAAAAACUACCUUUAACCAAACCAUGUCGGUAUCGCACAUCAAGAGCUCAUAGCCAUAAGGGAGGAUUGAGUCUAUCAGUAUAACUUUUUCUCUCCCCAUCUUGUGGAAUGUUGGUGAUCCCCAUCCAACAUCUAUUGUGCUCAUAUGGCUGCCCAUAUCAAAUACUGGAACACCUUUCCAGUACAAAGCCUCCAACAGUUUGGUGUCCAUUGCACCUAAGCCAUCAAUUUCAAACUCAUAAGUGCAGACAUAAAUAGAAAUACAAAAACAUAUGUUUCCUUACAAGGAAAUGGAAUAGAUAUGUAAAGAAAUUGGAAAGGCCAAAAAGACAUAAAAGUGCACAACCCAGAAUGCGGGGUAGCUUACCAAUGAGAAGGUUAGAAAGCCCCAGAUCAGUCAAGUGUUU